rnacentral:rRNA from 1 species
AAAUUGAAGAGUUUGAUCAUGGCUCAGAUUGAACGCUGGCGGCAGGCCUAACACAUGCAAGUCGAACGGUAACAGGAAGCAGCUUGCUGCUUCGCUGACGAGUGGCGGACGGGUAAGUAAUGUCUGGGAAACUGCCUGAUGGAGGGGGAUAACUACUGGAAACGGUGGCUAAUACCGCAUAA